rnacentral:SRP_RNA from 1 species
UCCACACUAAGUUCACAUCAAUAUGGUGACCUCCCGGGAGCAGGGGACCACCAGGUUGCCUAAGGAGGAGUGAACCGGCCCAGGUCAGAAACGGAGCAGGUCAAAACUCCUGUGCUGAUCAGCAGUGGGAGAG